ensembl:lncRNA
AUCCGUUCAUAGUUAUGCAGAUACAUACAUGUUAGUAUAGUUAAUACAUACAGUUAUGAAAUAAACAUAGUAUAGCAAUUUUUCUAUUUGUACUUCUUCUCCAGGUUUGUAAGACCAGCACCGUCUCUCUUAGCAACUCUAAUGAGCAAUCUGAUACAAAAUUGAAGGAAAAUACACCAUUUUGUGCCAGUCUGAUAGACUCCAUUUCAGUGGACACUGUGAAAACAGACUAUCUGUUCUGGACUCCAGACUUGAAGCUUCAGUUCAGAGUCCCUGCUCUUCUAAGACAAACUGAUUUAGAAGUUCGGUGCAAUCAAGACAACUAAACGCCGCUUUAAAGAAGAAGAGAAGAACUCGAUAUUCAGUGCAAGAGUGGUACCUGGUUCUCUGAAACCCAUUGUUGAUGAAAUUCCUUCGGAUCUCCCGCAUUUCACCUUAGAAAAAGCUCCCGCUAUGAAGGCCACUGUAAUAAAACAUGUCAACCUCCUCUUGUGUUUUAAGUACCCUCUCUUCAAACCCUUCUCUUGUCAAUUCAUGAAAAGCACUCUACCCAUACUGGGAGGUUCUCUAGGACAAGCAUUUAGUCUUUAAUAGCUAAUACAUAAACUUGAAUGUUUUAGUGCUCCUUUGGGAUACCCAGUGAGUGAUAACUUUUUAUAGGAGACAGUUGCUGCUGUGGAGGAAGGCAGCUGCCUUCAAGACACAUAUAUAGGCAUACAUCUUGAUGAAGAAGCAAAUGUUAGCAUUCACAUAACACCCCCCGCCACACACACACACACACACACACACACACACACACACACACACACACACACUCACGCACUCUUUCCAAAUCAGGCAAAACAUUUUCUAAUGUAGGAAACACAUCCAUGCAAACAUAAACACAACAAAACAACUCUAAAAGAGUUCUCUCCAAACUCUCUUAUCUAGGAUGACUUCUCGAGUUCUCCUGGUCUGAUUUAGACUAGAUACAGUGAGUAUGCUUUUAGGGCAUACUAGUAUUUUUCAGUGUGACUAUAAAUACACUUUCAAUUUCCUAAGGUUAUCCAGAUAUUUUAACCCAGCGUAACAAAUACUCAGAAAUGUUUCCUAAAUUCAGAAAAUUACAAAAUAAUGUUUUGCAAAAAAAAUGACACCUAGAACUGGGUAUCACAACUGACGGCACAGAAUCGUGCUGUUGUUUAAAAGAGUCGGGAGGAAGAAUGGAAAACAUGUAAAAAGUUGUGUGGUCUGUUUUGGAAAUGGAGCAAAGGAGUAUCGUAAAUAACUGAAAUCCACAGAUAAGCCAAGGCUAUCAUUUUUAGUCAGUAAACUCCGCCCUUUUCCAGGCCUUCAUAAAAUUAAACCCCAAAUUGCAAAUCCUUUGACUUGUAUAAAAUUGUCAUUGCUUGUUUUUCCUGCUGCGUCAACAUUGGCUGAAAGAGAAAGGAAAAAGCAAAAACCCACAAAAUCCCCAAAGCAAAUUGUCCCUCUCUGCCUCCUCUUGGACUGGAAGCUAAUUGUAUUACUAGCUGGCAUAUAAUCAAAGCAUUGGAAGAGAUGAAAGAAAAGGUAUAAAUUAGCAGCAUUGAACAACAUCGUAAGCAUCUCU